GCUGUGAUGGCCGAGUGGUUAAGGCGUUGGACUUGAAAUCCAAUGGGGUCUCCCCCACGCAGGUUCGAACCCUGCUCGCAGCG
rnacentral:tRNA from 1 species